ACUUACCUAGCCAAUUUGGUAAACUAGAUUUUGAUUAGAUUGCUAAGUGAUUCGAGUUAGUCCAUGCCAUUAAGAUUGAUCAGUAUGACUAAUCUAGGUGCCAGUUCAAUCAGCUGACCUAAUUCGAUUCAGUGACUUGGUGAAGUCAGUGGAAGGAUUAUGGUUUACUGAUUGAUCUUUUCUUCUCUUCUCUCUUUUCUAAAUCGAUUAAAUCUUCUAAAUUAUUA
rnacentral:lncRNA from 1 species